rnacentral:rRNA from 1 species
UACGUAGGGUGCAAGCGUUAAUCGGAAUUACUGGGCGUAAAGCGUGCACAGGCGGUUCGGAAAGAGAGGUGUGAAAUCCCAGGGCUUAACCUUGGAACUGCACUUCUAACUACCGGGCUAGAGUACGUCAGAGGGGGGUAGAAUUCCACGUGUAGCAGUGAAAUGCGUAGAGAUGUGGAGGAAUACCGAUGGCGAAGGCAGCCCCCCGGGAUGAUACUGACGCUCAUGCACGAAAGCGUGGGGAGCAAACAGG